UGAACAGCACAAUCCAUAAAGACUCAAGGAAGUGCUCAAGGGAAGAUGGACUUAUUACAUGCAGUACGAGGUUCUUAGGACUGGAUGGCACUGGGAUGGCAACAUGGUGUGGGGCAGAGUCUAAAAUGUUGAGUUGGGUUUCCAAGUCUACUGCUUCGUAGCGUUAAGACCUGGACCAAGAUGUCUAACGCCUCUGGGUCUCAGUUAGUCACCUAUAAAGAUGAGGGGGUGAUAGCACUGGCUGCGAGGGUCUGGGCAAAGGCGGGUCUGCUGGGAGACAACAGGCAGGCAGCAGACGAUAGGGCCCUCCCCAUCAAUCCACAGAACGGAGCACAGAUUCUGGGAACAGCGCUGGACCGGGGCCCGGGGGAAACAUCGGGGGCAGAGCAUGGCUCCUGCCUCAGGGGACGGACAGUCAGCUUGACGAGGCAAAACAGCCUCGUCUGAAAGGCUGAGAAACCACACAGCAAGUCAGUAACACUAGAUGAGUCACCAGCUUGAACAUGAUCCGUGGCCAGGUUGGCGUGGGAUGUGCUGUGCGCUGGGUGGGGAGCGCUCUCCAGGGGUUGAGGGUGUAGAGACAGGCUGAUGGAAGAGGAGGGUCGCAGGGCAUCAACGUGUUGGCACGGAAGCCAAGGGGUGCUCUGGAGUCGAGGUGAGGCCAUGGUUCCCACCUUGGGUUCCUCGCCUUAGGCUCUGUUGGCUGCUCUCUGCUGCCCCCUGUUGGUGCGUAGAGGGAAGAGCAGGACGGUGGCUGCGAGGAGAGGGAUGGACCAGCAAGUGAGGUGGUGGGAGGAAGAAAUACAGCCAGUGGGGCAGGGAGUGGAGGUGGGCAAGAGAGGGGGCCUGUCGGGGUCACCUUCAGCCCUCGCCCCCUUUCUUUCCCUGGAGCGCCGGUCACACCCUCUCUCUUCUGCACCCUCCCCUCAUUUUCUCCUUGCCGGUCAGAGGCUCACCCUCUGUCUCCCGGUGUAGACCACAGGUGUGACCAAGGGAAGGAGCACUUAGCAUUCUUGGGACUUCUGUUCUCACUGUGCGUCUUGCCUGAGGGCAUUUCUCGAGGCCAGAAAUUGUUUCAUCCCUGAACACCCAGUUAAUAUGCAUGAAGUUUGUGGAGAAGCAAAACGAAAGGAAAGAAAGAAAGAAAGAAAGAAAGAAAGAAAGAAAGAAAGAAAGAAAAAGAGGAAAUAAAGGGCUGAGGGGCUGGAAGACAGAGACAGGGAGUGAAGUGAAGGAAGCUAUAGUUAACACGAAGCCUCACCCAGCAGCCAUGAGGCAGAUUGUCCCUUGAGCGGGGACAAUUGCAAAUAACUUUUCCCAUUCGCCCCAGCCCAGUGUUUUCAACUUAGAAAACACAACUAGCUUUAGGACUUAGAUCAGUUGACAUUUGGGGCCAGGUACUUCUCUCUUGGGGGAGGGCAUCGUAGGCUAUGUAGUAACCUCUGUGGCCUCUACCCACGAAAUUCAAAUAAAAACCCCGGCCUGGCAGAAACAACCCAUAAUGUCUCCAGACCUUGCCAACAGUCCCCUGUUGAGGAUCCCAGCCUUAGAGAAUCGGCAGGACCCUCCUCCCCCAAUGCCCAGAGCUGUACUUCCUUCCCCUCCUCCUCCCCUGAGCACCACAAGAAUGCCACAUAUGUCCACCUGCCCGUCCACUUGACAUUCACAGAAACAGAAACAGAGGCUUCCUUCGGAGGCCCACGUCCUGACCUCUCUUGCUCUGCUCAGCGACUGCAAACCAGUGGAUUUCAUAACCUCAAAGCAGCUCUGCGCCCCGAGUCCUGACUUCCUGGACAACCAGAGACUCAGGUUCUCUGAGGAGGGCGGUGAGGAAUUUCGCUCUGCACAUCCCCGCAGUCCCCGGCCCCACAGCAAUGGGCAGAUGGGACUUCCAGAUGAAAAGAACUAAUAAUUUAUUUUUGCCAAAAAGGUGUGACCGGCAAGGCGUGCCUAGUGUUUAGCCCCCUGUUAAAUCUGACUGCGUGCCGGCUGAAAGACUUUACCGCUCAUCCCAGUCGGCGGCUGGGUGGAGAGGAAUAAAUGCAUUGGUUCUUCAACACAAGGACAAGUAAAUACAGGCAACGCCGGGCACUUACAUCUCACCACGCACACGCAUCGACGUAAGCAUCUAACAAACAUCAGUUCACCGGGAUCUCGUCUGGACGCAGUGAGGUAGGUAGUGUUAUCCCCACAUCACGUAUGAGGAGACUGAGGCAGAGUAGGUAACUAAUAGCCAGAGAGUGUCCGAGCUGGAUUUAGACACAGGCCAUGUGGGUCCCGUGUGUGCUCCUAAGGGCUAAGCGACUUUCCUGUUGCAGCGAAGAGCUGUGUUUUCAGCGGCCUUCUACACGGAUACCUCGUCCGCUUAUGUAUGCUAAAGACCAUCAUCACUCAAGUCCAACGUAAAGAGAACUAAUGAUGUGAUGUCAUCUUCCGGGGAGACUUCAAAAGGAAGUAGGGCAAUAGGGGCACCAAGUAAACAGCGUCCCUUUGAAAUGCAGGAAGGCAACUGUGCCAUCCUGGGCGACCUCAAAAUGGCACUACCCACGCUCCAUGGAGAUACCGGCUCAAACGUCUCAACAAGCUUGAGGGAGGAUCCCCUUCAGACCAAUGUUACUAUACGCCCGACAGAAUCUUCCCAAAUCCCUAAUUUCUCAGCACAGAGAACCUCAGUGCAGCCCAAAUCAUAGCUACAGUUGGAUUUGUUUACUGUGUUUUAUAAAUAUGAUCUUGCAAGCCCACACAUGGCAUGCUCGAGAACUCCAGAUUAGGUACAAGAAGAAAAACCUCAUCCUGGUGGUCAAAUCAUGGCAGGAAAUGAUGCCACCAGCAAUUAUUCAUGUAUUAGCAGUUGCUUAAGUACCAUAAGGCUUUUAGGGGAAAAGACUGGGAGGCAGUGGUUGGAAAUGAAGCCCCAUUAUUAAUGUAGUCAAGCUAUUCAGCUGGAUUCAAUAAAGUAAAAAGCCCUGCCCAGACCAGUGUCUGUAGUAGAAGAUGCUAAGAGCUGUUUUUUAAAAAUCUGGCUUUAUUGAAUCCAGGCUUUAGACACAGCAUUCCUUCUUCCUGAAUGGCGGAAAAAUCAUCCCGUGCAUUUUAAGCCACUGGAGAGGAAAUGGACUUAAGCUGUGUCAGGAAAGUGCAGUUAGAUUUAAGGGAGAGAACUUCAUAACAUUCAAGGUGAUUGAAACCUUGGUAGCCCUCUGGAUAUAUCGUCAAGACAGGCUGCGAGAUCCUUUUUUAUCAGUUUGGCUCGGGUUAAAACCCACGACCGGGAGCCUACAGCGUGCCAGGCCCUAUGUGGGUCCUGUGGGGCCCUGGGCGUAGAGAGGCGAACAAAAUACAAGAUCCCCUGCUUCUGAGGCUCUUACCACCCGGGGCUGGGGGUAAGCAGGAGCUCACGCUGGCUAGCACGGGCAGACCUGUGCCGGUUUGGAUGAACAGCAUUUGGUAUUUCUGUCUGUGUGUCUGUCCCUCUCCACGGGCUUGCCCCUGUCCGCUUUUCGUGUCUCUGGCUCUGUCUUCAUUGUCUUAGGACUGUUUUGUCCCCACAUCCCAGACUCCAAGCCUCAGACCUCUCUGGCCUGGGCGGCCCGCAGGCAUCUUGUGUGUUUAUCCCUCCAACCACAUCCUUGGCCAGCUGCUGCUGUUGCCUCCACUGCCCUCUCCAGUGGCCCAAUUCACACCGCUCAGGGAUGCUGAGACCUUUCUGAUCCCUUCUCUCUUGUAUCGUUGGCUGCAGAACCUGAGAAGAAGCCAGGAGAGUAGGCCAGUCCUUGGGUGAAGGCAUCAGGCCAACGUGUUUCAUAUUCACCUGCUCAAUAUUUCCUGAAUGCCAAGAACCCAGGUACAGAGGGCGAGGAAAGAAGGAUUAGGUAAGACUCUGUCCUCCAGGACCUGAUGAUCUAGAGAGGGAAUAAAAAAGACCUGGGGCCCCUGGGUGGCUCAGUGGGUUAAGUGUCUGACUUCGGCUCAGGUCAUGAUCUCACGGUUCGUGGGUUCCAGCCCCACGUCGGGCUCUGUGCCGACAGCUCAGAGCCUGGAGCCUGCUUCAGAGUCUGUGUCUCCCUCUCUCUCUGCCCUUCUCCCGCUUGCACUCAGUCUCUCAAAAAUAAAUAAAACAUUAAAUAAAAAGACCCCAGCCCAAGGGAAAGCACAAAUAAGCUCUAUGAUGACGUGAAAUACAGCGACGACUCCCAGGAAGGGUCUAAUUGAUCCAGACAGUUAUCAUUGAAAACCAAUGCCCCAAAUGGGCCGAGUCCUUGUGCCAGAUCAGCUCACCGGCUGUACCGUCUACCCGUGAGCAAGUCCGUUGCCCCUUUGUUAAACUGGGCGCUUUAAUCCAACAUGGGAUAUGGUUGCGGUCGGAGGCCCACAAGACACAACGCCUGGCCCUCGGUGUGAGGGGCUGGUCACCCUCUGCAGAAAGAAUCUGCAGUAUGGUAGGCACUCAGGCCUUUAUCCACAGCCUGGCACAGGGCCCCGGAGAGAGACAGCUCACAGGACAAGAGGGAUGCCAGCAGGUGCUAAGGUAGAGAGAGAGAGAGAGAGAGCAAGCGAGCGAGAGCUCCAAGGGGAGGAGAAUAUCCUAAGGAGGAGGAGAAACUUGGCCAAACCUUGGAUUGGGCUUUGAAAGGUGAGAGGAUAUGGAUCUGGGAAGGGAGGGGGUUUACCCCAGACAGAUUAGCUUCCCGGAGCUCUCAUGGACAACAGGGCUAAUACACACAUAUCCUUCCUGGCUCUGGGAUGCAACCUCGGACGCUGAGGGUCCCCGUGGAGUGAUGUUCCUAGCAUCGCACUCUGUCACCUCCCACGGUUCUAAGAUCCCCACAAAGUCACGCGUGCCUGCAGCUCCCACUGCUCCCCAUUCCUUACACAGUGACCCUCCAGGCUAGAAUGCCGGUGACACUGGUUUCCAGGUCCCAGGAAUUCCUGGCAAGCCUGAAUUGCCAGCUGGCUUUGCCCUUUUCCCGAAACUUCCCCUGAUGGCAUUAGGAGCUGGGCUUUUACUCCCACGCCUCUUCCCCAGCCACUGUGUGUCAACAGUAGCAGGAGAGUCAGAGGAGACAGAACAUACUCCAUGAUGGCACACACGGAGAGGAUGCUACGGCUGGGAAUAUGUGCACAAGGACACGAGUAGGCACAGAACCAGAGGCUACCCUCCGGUGUGCCACACCAGCUCUCACUGGCCAAGACCACACAAUAGUACUCGGACCGUGGAAAAUGCAUAUCUAUGUAAACAAUGAACUCACAUGAAAUAUACUUGGGGGGAAAUCAUUUCAGAGACAAAUAACAUUACAAUGAAUGGGUGUUCCUUAGAAAGGUGUUAAACAGAGAUAAGUGUUAACAAAUCCUUCCAAUACCGGGCAGAUUAUAUAAUCGUAUUGACUUUGAGUGUGACAGUUCACCGAGGCGAAAUGGGACGUCAGAUAGGUCUAGUUUGGGUGGGAAAACGUUAAAGAUCGAAGAUUUAGGAAUGAUGCACUCCUUAAGGGAACUGGAUUUAUUUCUCAUAUUGGUUGACCUACGUACCUCCCUCCCUCCCCUCUCCAUUCCUUCCUUCCUCCCUCCCUCCUUCCCUUCCAUGGAGCUAGACACUGGGCUAGAUGCUGAGACUACACACAAGAAUAAGAUACAAUCCCUGCCUUAUGAAGCUCACACUGUAGCUAGGGAGACCAAGAGCUAGCAAAUUCUCAUGUUGCAACACAAGAAGGUGCUAUAAUAGAGGUAUGUGGAGAAUGCUCUAGGAGUGUGAGAGAAGGCGGCAUCUGUUUCCAAUGGGGUUUAGGGGACUCCCCUGGCAUAUAAUUCUAUAAUAAAUAUUUCUCAAAUGUCCCAUUGCUUGGGGUUUAGCUAUCUUUCACAACUAGCUUUCCUCUCUGUCUCCCUCUCUCUUUCCCUUGUUCCCUUCCUCCCCCCCUCUUCUAUUCAUCUAUUACCUCCCUCUCUCCAUCACCCAUCACCUAUCUAUCUAUCUAUCUAUCUAUCUAUCUAUCUAUCUAUUAUCUCUGGAACAUUUUAGAUCAUAUAACUUGUUUUAAAAAAAAGUGUAUGUAUGUAUGUAUUUAUUUAUUUUUGAGAGAGCGGGUGGGGAGGGGCAUAGAGAGAGGAAGAGAGAGAAUCCCAAGCAGGCUCCACACUCAGCACGGAGCCUGACAUGAGGCCUGAUCCCACAACCAUGACAUCACGACCAGAGCCAAAAAUCAAGGGUCAGACGCCCAACCGACCCAGCCACCCAGGUGCCCCGAUCCUAUCACUUUCUAAGACAGGUUCCUCUUCUUGCUGAUGGGACAGCCUAGCUACCGAAGACCAUUUUGCCAGCAUUUGCCAAAGCUGACAAAGGGAGUUUGGAGUUCCUUCUCCAGAGGUCUUAAAAUAGGACUGGUUUCAACUGGCUGGGACAGUUGGGUGGUCCUGCCUAAAGGCAGCAGGGACGACCGGAGGGCUUUUCAAGGGCUCCCGUACAUCCUUGUUUCCUUCACUGCCAAGAACCUGUAAGUCCCUUUGGACCCUGAGCAGCUGCUACCCUGUCAGUACUGGGACUGGCUGCCCAGGCCAAAAGCUGAGGAGAGAAACAGCAGCCCUGGAGGGUACAUUUCCACAGUCUUACAGGUCAUUGUCGCAGCCGGCUGCCGUUCUAAGACAGACUGCCAGCGCUGCGCUGAGAAUCUCACCAGGGUUAUAAUCCCCCAUAACUGACAUCAAGAGCCAAAAACCCAUGACAUGCUUGGACUCGGAAUUUUGUUAUGUAGCUUGCAUUUUCUGAUGCCCUGAAGCUUUUGAUAUGCUUCCAAUCGGAGGGAAAUGUAAACAGCUCCGUUCACUGGUAAAUUGGGCCUCUGUCGCACGAAUUUCCAGAGGUUCCCUCAUGCUCUGCUAAGUAAAAUGUCCUCCUGGAACGUCAGGGUUUGCUAGGUGGUCUGUGUAUUCGUAAGAAGAGGAAGGGUUAUCCAAGGACGGUGUCUAGAAACAGUGCGGACGGGUGGUUACUGCACUUUCUCUACUGGAAUCCAAAGUAAACAGGUGAACACAAACACCGCUUCACACACACGGAGGAGGCUCGGCGGCCGUGAGUCUUUAUUCUGGGGUCUUCGGUUUCUGAUAAGACCUGCUUAUUGGCCUAAGAGCGCUGACUCGAUAGGCCUGAUUCUGAGGUCCUGGUUUAUCGUCCCGGAUUCUUAAAGUCUGACAAGGGCUUCGCACAUCUAUAAGCACAGGCAGGCGGCAGGUGCCCAAUAACGUCUAGCGACCUUCACUCCCUAAGUGAUUCCAUGGAGGCCUUCUUGGGGGCUGUCUGGAGCAACAGGACCUCGUUUUCUAAAUUAAAUGCAGACAAAAGAGUUGCGUUUUCUUUCAGAGAUGGAUACCAGGGGACAUCAUCAAGGUAAUUUUAAUCCUCUUUUUAAAUUUUAUCUUUGGGGAGAACAGAGAUGGUCUGUUUUAUAUUCUUCUUUUUUUUUUAACUUUUAUAUGUUUAUUUAUUUUUAAAUUUUUGUAAGUUUAUUUAGAGAGAGAGAGAGAGCAUGCACACAAGCAGGGGAGGGGCAGAGAACAGGAGAGGCAGAAUCCCAGGCAGGCUCCACAUCAUCCACGCAGAGCCUGAUGCAGGGCUCAAACACAUGAACUGUGAGAUCUUGACCUGAGCCAAGAUCAAGAAUUGGACGUUUAACCAACUGAGUCACCCAAGUGGCCCAAUGUUUAUUUUUGAGAGAGACAGAAACAGAGUGUGAAUGGGGGAGGGGCAGAAAGACGGAGACACAGAAUGUGAAGAAGGCUCCUGGCUCUGAACUGUCAGCACACAGCCUGAUGUGGGGCUCGAACUCAUGAACAGUGGGAUCAUAACCUGAGCCGAGGUCGGAUGCCUAACUGACUGAGCCACCCAGGUGCCCCUGUUUUAUAUUUUUUUACAUUUUUCCAUGUAAACUCAUAUAACUAAUAGCCAUAUUACGAUUGUAAUCAGUGAUCAGCACCUGAGAGGAAGCCCAAUGCAGUAGCUAAGAACACAAACACGGCUCUAAUCCUGGCUCAGCCACAAACUACUGUGUGAACUUGGGCAAGGUGCUAAAUCUAUCUCUGUGCCCUGGUUUCUUCAUCUAUAAGUGGGGAGAAUGAUAGGACCUAUCUCAUUCAGUUCUUGUUAGGAUUAAAUGAGUUAUUACACAUAAUCUGCUUAAAGUAGUACCUGGAGCAUGGUAAGUACUCUAUGUUAGUUAUUAGUAUUAUUAAGGAUGAAUAAAUGACA